rnacentral:misc_RNA from 1 species
GGCAGCCGCGGUAAUUCCAGCUCCAAUAGCGUAUAUUAAAGUUGUUGCAGUUAAAAAGCUCGUAGUUGAAUUUCGGGAUCAGUUGAUCGGUCGUGCCUCGGUACGUACUGGUCAAAUUGAUUCCUACCUUCUGACGAACCACGAUGUCAUUAAUUUGGUGUCGCGGGAAAUCAGGACUGUUACUUUGAAAAAAUUAGAGUGUUUAAAGCAGGCUCGCGCUUGAAUACAUUAGCAUGGAAUAAUGAAAUAGGACGUUUGAUUCUAUUUUGUUGGUUUCUAGGAUCGACGUAAUGAUUAAUAGGGAUAGUUGGGGGCAUUAGUAUUCAAUUGUCAGAGGUGAAAUUCUUGGAUUUAUUGAAGACUAACUACUGCGAAAGCAUUUGCCAAGGAUGUUUUCAUUAAUCAAGAACGAAAGUUAGGGGAUCGAAGACGAUCAGAUACCGUCGUAGUCUUAACCAUAAACUAUGCCGACUAGGGAUCGGAUGAUGUUAAUUUUUUAAUGACUCAUUCGGCGCCUUAC